rnacentral:rRNA from 1 species
UACAGAGGUCCCAAGCGUUGUUCGGAUUCACUGGGCGUAAAGGGUGCGUAGGUGGUUAGGUAAGUCCGAUGUGAAAUCUCCAGGCUCAACCUGGAAAUGGCAUUGGAUACUAUCUAGCUUGAGGAGUGGAGGGGGGACUGGAAUUCUCGGUGUAGCAGUGAAAUGCGUAGAUAUCGAGAGGAACACCAGUGGCGAAGGCGAGUCCCUGGACACUUCCUGACACUGAGGCACGAAAGCUAGGGGGAGCAAACGGG